CAGCUAUGCAAAAGGAUCAGGGUGGCAAUCGUCAGUUCUUGAGCUUCGAACAGGCAGAAAGCUGUACAAAAAGAUCAGGGUGGCGAUGGUCAGUUCUUGAGCUUCGAACAGGCAGAAAGCUAUGCAACAAGAUCAGGGUGGCGAUGGUCAGUUCUUGAGCUUCGAACGGGCAGAAAGCUCUGCAACAAGAUCCGGGUGGCGAUGGUCAGUUCUUGAGCUUCGAACUGGCAGAAAGCUAUACAAGAAGAUCAGGGUGGCGAUGGUCAGUUCUUGAGCUACGAAAAGGCAGAAAGGUG